GGGUUGUGAGGUUAAGCGACUAAGCGUACACGGUGGAUGCCCUGGCAGUCAGAGGCGAUGAAGGGCGUGCUAAUCUGCGAUAAGCGCCGGUAAGGUGAUAUGAACCGUUAUAACCGGCGAUACCCGAAUGGGGAAACCCAGUGUGAUUCGUCACACUAUCAUUAACUGAAUCCAUAGGUUAAUGAGGCGAACCGGGGGAACUGAAACAUCUAAGUACCCCGAGGAAAAGAAAUCAACCGAGAUUCCCCCAGUAGCGGCGAGCGAACGGGGAGGAGCCCAGAGCCUGAAUCAGCAUGUGUGUUAGUGGAAGCGUCUGGAAAGGCGCGCGAUACAGGGUGACAGCCCCGUACACAAAAGCGCAUGUGCUGUGAGCUCGAUGAGUAGGGCGGGACACGUGGUAUCCUGUCUGAAUAUGGGGGGACCAUCCUCCAAGGCUAAAUACUCCUGACUGACCGAUAGUGAACCAGUACCGUGAGGGAAAGGCGAAAAGAACCCCGGCGAGGGGAGUGAAAAAGAACCUGAAACCGUGUACGUACAAGCAGUGGGAGCACAGGUUUACCUGUGUGACUGCGUACCUUUUGUAUAAUGGGUCAGCGACUUAUAUUCUGUAGCAAGGUUAACCGAAUAGGGGAGCCGGAGGGAAACCGAGUCUUAACCGGGCGUUAAGUUGCAGGGUAUAGACCCGAAACCCGGUGAUCUAGCCAUGGGCAGGUUGAAGGUUGGGUAACACUAACUGGAGGACCGAACCGACUAAUGUUGAAAAAUUAGCGGAUGACCUGUGGCUGGGGGUGAAAGGCCAAUCAAACCGGGAGAUAGCUGGUUCUCCCCGAAAGCUAUUUAGGUAGCGCCUCGUGAAUUCAUCUCCGGGGGUAGAGCACUGUUUCGGCUAGGGGGCCAUCCCGGCUUACCAACCCGAUGCAAACUGCGAAUACCGGAGAAUGUUAUCACGGGAGACACACGGCGGGUGCUAACGUCCGUCGUGAAGAGGGAAACAACCCAGACCGCCAGCUAAGGUCCCAAAGUCAUGGUUAAGUGGGAAACGAUGUGGGAAGGCCCAGACAGCCAGGAUGUUGGCUUAGAAGCAGCCAUCAUUUAAAGAAAGCGUAAUAGCUCACUGGUCGAGUCGGCCUGCGCGGAAGAUGUAACGGGGCUAAACCAUGCACCGAAGCUGCGGCAGCGACGCUGUGCGUUGUUGGGUAGGGGAGCGUUCUGUAAGCCUGCGAAGGUGGCCUGUGAGGGUUGCUGGAGGUAUCAGAAGUGCGAAUGCUGACAUAAGUAACGAUAAAGCGGGUGAAAAGCCCGCUCGCCGGAAGACCAAGGGUUCCUGUCCAACGUUAAUCGGGGCAGGGUGAGUCGACCCCUAAGGCGAGGCCGAAAGGCGUAGUCGAUGGGAAACGGGUUAAUAUUCCCGUACUUGGUGUUACUGCGAAGGGGGGACGGAGAAGGCUAUGUUGGCCGGGCGACGGUUGUCCCGGUUUAAGCGUGUAGGCUGGUUUUCCAGGCAAAUCCGGAAAAUCAAGGCUGAGGCGUGACGACGAGGCACUACGGUGCUGAAGCAACAAAUGCCCUGCUUCCAGGAAAAGCCUCUAAGCAUCAGGUAACAUCAAAUCGUACCCCAAACCGACACAGGUGGUCAGGUAGAGAAUACCAAGGCGCUUGA
rnacentral:rRNA from 1 species